UUGGGGAAGCUCAUCAUAGAGGUCACAUGCAGAGUGCUAGUCACUUAACCAAUCAUCUUGGGGAAGGUCUGAGACAGGAGCCAAUGACUGCACAAGCAGGGCAUCACCAUCUCUUGGUGAAUGAGUGCACAGAGAAUAUUGGCCAUUGUGAGCUCUAUUCACAGGAGAAACCAGCCACUGUAGCUCUCCAACACUACUGGUGGAUGUGACCUCACUGGUUUGGAAACACUCAUGGCUGGCAUAUGAGUGCAAUGUGUGAGUUGGAGUACACCUCCAGAACCCAAUUCAGACUCUCACAUUUACUCUUUCAACUAA
ensembl:ribozyme RNaseP_nuc Nuclear RNase P